GUUUAUCUAUCGAGUUUUGUACCAAAGGUACAAAACAUCGCAUUAUUAUAUGCGGUUUGUAAACAAACCGCUUGAAAAAACUUUUUUCGGAAACUGAGGUUUCCUGCAAAAAGUCUUUAUAGGA
rfam:Treponema denticola ATCC 35405, complete genome.